rnacentral:misc_RNA from 1 species
GGGGUUGGAAUUGGCUUGAGCGAUGGAUGCAAUCACAACCAUACCAUGCUCGUCAUCUGGAGCCAAAUGAAGCUUCUUAUAUGACACUAAACACAACUACAACCACCACAGAUGACAUGUCUGAGAAAACAGUGGAGAUGGACAUGGUCACUCCACCAGCCACGAGUAACAUCAACAAUAGCCGACUGGACAUUUCUCCGUACCCAUCUAAGCAGCAAAGACAAUCAAGCUUAAACACCCAUGUCCCUAGCUACAUGGCUCCAACCCAGUCUGCCAAGGCCAAGUUGCGUAGUCAGAGCACAAUCAAGGAGCGUAAGCCAUGUGUGCCCCAUUGGAACUCAUCCACAAAGAAUGUUGGUUUAGGUUGUGAUUCCUCAAGUUCAGGCGGAGGAACAGCUGUUUACCAGACUCCAAGGAGCCCAAGCCCCAAUAAUAAUGGGAUGCGCCUCCAGUCUAGACAGAUUGCUGGGUAUAGCCCACAUUCCGACGGUGCUGGCGAGGAUUGGAGGUUGCCUCGCAUUGAUGGCUACGGUUGGAGACAUGAUUUAUAGAUGAUGAGUGUUAAAUGGAACUUUUUCUCAUAUGUUUAUACAAAUAAGUUACUAGCGAUCGACGUUAAUUUGUCAUUCGUGAUGUUAUUAUUUACCAGUCCCCUGAAAGGCUUUGGUAAUUAUAUUUGUUUGGGUGCAAGAACUAACGUCUCUCAUGUUCAUUUGGAUCCUAUAUUGUAUCACUACUAUUUGUCAACCAUUCAAUUCAUACCUUUUUUU